AUUAGCCUUCCAUGGGAAUAGUAUAGGCUGCCGUUCCGAAUGGCUAGGCCCGAAAUGGCGUUGGCGUCCCGAGCUCGGGGGCGUGGUCUGUUGGCCAUGAACUUUCUCCGCGGGUGCAUACCGCCAUUCUAGGCUAGCUAUUUAAAAUCAAACUUAGCCUCUGCAAAAGCCAUUUAUCGCCGGGUCAUUGACGCUACUUGAGUACGAAGAAUGCGCUCUCAUUGCUCGAAAGGACUCCAGCAACGUAAGUCAUCACAUCGCGCGCUCGCUCUCAGCUAGCUUAGGCCUACUUCCAAAUGGGAAUGUUACGUGCUCCCGUAAGUACCGAAGGUAAUUUUUCCUGGAAUCGUUUUCUAACUCUGCGAUGGAUCUGGUAAGUGUGCGUGCUUUAAACGUUGUUGAACUUCAACUCUAAGCCUUGAUUAUACUUCCUGACAGAGGGGCCAAACGCACAGUUCCGGAAUCGGAAAGGUUAGUUCGUUGUUGUUGGAUAAACCACCGAAGGAGGGCAUCGGGAAAAUUGCAACCAAUUUCAACUUUAAAAAGUCCAAAUGUGAUAUUAUGCAUUUUCCAACUUUAGACAACAAUGUAUCCAGCCUUAUCACACAAGGAAUCAAACAAUUUUCCUGUAUAAGGAGGACAAGAAUAUAAACAGUUAUUACGGCAUGCGGUCAUUCUACUAUGGCUAUUACAUCAUCGGAAGGUCACUAAGCGGAUACGGAUUGUGGUCAUCGCACCCUUUCUAGUCCUCGUGUUUCGGUUGGAUGGCAUUUGAUAGCCUGCACGUUACUCACGUGUUGUCAUACUUGCCAUCGCGUGAAUGUUUCAGAUCAAGAUGAGAAGCAUCAGACGGAGAAACGAUGCGGAGGCGCGAUAAAGGAAGCUUCAUAUCGUCUGCUUAUUUCGUUCGUUUGAGGACAUUUUUCGCGCGUAGACUAUGGAUUUGGAUGAUACGAGUAUGGAAAGACAUUUAUCAAGAACAUGUUAAAUUUUUGAAUCAAAGGAACUCAUUACCAUGCAGAUAAGUUUGAAUUAAAAAGAUAUUCGACGUAACAACAAUGCGAAGGUGUGCAAAACCUGAGGCUAAGGGGCUUGCUCAGUAAAGGCAUGGAGGUAUAUUGCAUGGUUAAGGCAACUUUCAGGCCCUCGACGCCACGUGGUAAAGAAUGGGUGCGGCGAUUUAUCAACAAUACCGAUGUCGUAAAGGAAAAAUACUACUUAUUAUAUCUAUAUUAUAUCUUUUAACGCUCAUCACACAUGGUCAAGGUGAACGUUUACUGGUACGGUCAUUGUUUUCACUUGGUAAGUAGGCAUAUUGACCGAACAAUAUCAAUUAAUUACCGUUCAAUCUAUUUCGGGCGAAUCCGAGAGUUGAAUGUCAGGGCUGUACAGUGGGCGAGAAUUUAGAUAUUAUUAUUAUUGAAAUUUUAUUUAUAUAUCGAAACCGAUAAAGUAUGAAGAGGGGUCGACGGUAUAUAUCAACAGACUCAUUGUCCAGGAGAUAACGGAAGGCAUGUUUAUUUCCCAUUGGUGAUAUCAUAUGUAUACAAAAGCUCAUGCGUCAAUAUAUUAUACGGUUCGGUAUUACAUGUCUAUCUAGAUAUUACGUACAUUUUACUCUGGUGGCUAUGGAAGGACCGAUAUUUUUGGUUGAUGGGCAUGCGUUGCCGUGGUUGUGCAGAAACAAAUAUAUGACAUUAUAAACGAGUGAAAAUAUUUUCAAACGAGUUUGGUUGUUAGCUAUUUUCAAACGAAUUUGGUUGUUAGCUAUGAUGCUGCGUUUC